UAGGGAAUCUUCCACAAUGGGCGAAGGCCUGAUGGAGCAACGCCGCGUGUGUGAUGAAGGGUUUCGGCUCGUAAAACNCUGUUGUAAGAGAAGAAUGACAUUGAGAGUAACUGUUCAAUGUGUGACGGUAUCUUACCAGAAAGGAACGGCUAAAUACGUGCCAC
rnacentral:rRNA from 1 species